CCUAGUUUUUUUUUUCCUCCUCCGAAGCUUUUACAUAUCAUUUGUACAAGCAGGAAGCAUCUAUCUAAAAAUUUCUGACAGCAAGAUCCAACAGUUAUGCUCCGUUGAAUAUUGCAAUUAAGUGAUAUACAGCAAAUCAUCUUCGACUGUCCAAUCACAACCCAACUUCUACUACAAGUCUUAAAAGUUGUUAAGCAAACUUCGUACGACAAAACAAAGUGAACAUUAAAAGAAUCUUGCAGUAAAAGAUAACAGCAAAUUCAGACACGUUCACUUCAGGGUCAGUAGAGGUCUUAGCAUGCUCAGCAGCAUCAAUUGAUUUUCACCAUCACCUAUAAUAGCUGAACCUACCUAUUAAGCAAAUGAGAUUACCGCAUCGAAUUCAGGGUUUAGUUUAGUAUAGUUAUUUGUAUUUAAAUUCCAAUACCUGUAAUCUGUUCUUUCUCGUGCUAUAUGUAUCUCAUUCUAACAUACAAUAAUCAAUUUUUAAUAAUAAAAAUGAGUGAAAUUUUUAACAAAAAAAUCAAUUUACUCUUUAAUCUAAUAUAUAAAGACUAAUUUGAUUGUUCUUCGAGUGGACGGUAAAAUACAAUCCGACCCCUAUAAAACAAGAGCCUCCAUGGUAUUUUACCAUUCUUUUAAGGCCUAACUAUAACCUCACCGUAAAAUUAGUAUUGAUACAUCAAAACAGUAAAACGAGUAUAUGAGCUUAACAAAGGUUUGAAUCAAACUAUUCAAGUUAUUCAAACGCUAACACCUGCAGUCAAUUCUGUUAUCUCUAAAACUACGGCCUUCACCGUAAGAGAAAAGUAUUUAUGCAACAGUAGUAAAAACAGUAUGUGUUCAAAAUAAAGCAUUGAAUCAAACAACAGCAGUGCCAACAGUUAGAUUGGUAGAAUAUUAUUCAAUCAAAAACAGAAAAUAAUAAAGACUAGGUUUAUCUCAGUUACUAGAAAGGGACCGGGUUAAGCUAUAGAUCGAAUAAUACAGUAAUAGCAGCAAUAAGAGUUUAGAUUAAAUAGCUCCAUCAAAAUUGUUACAUACAAAGCAUAUUAAAACACAAUACAAAAUAAUGCAACAAAGACAUUUUGCACCUCAUCAUUUACGUCAUAUGUAUGCAUUCUCCGCCAAAGCCAGUUGGAAUCCGUCUUCCCCGAAACUUGAAUAAAAAUGAAGAAUGAAUUUACAUAUAGCACUUUUCCCCCGGAAAAAGAAUAUAUACACCAAUGACAUUCAGAACCUGUCACCAAAUCAAUUGCUCGUAUAACAUUCUAACUAGCUAUGUUAAUCUCACUAUUCAUUUUUCUUGAAGUACCUAUGUCUGAUGCAUAACCAGACAUGGAUACAAGGAUAUGACACUUGAAGAAAUUGAACAUAUCUAUGUCGGAAAUAUACCCAAGUCUGAGUAACAUAGCUGAGCAGUCUAACCACAUUUCAAACAAACAUCCACAAUACUAUUAGAGUGAUUAAGCAAUAACUUACUAGUGUGUUUCAAGCAACUCAAUGAAAUCCUUUAUUCUCUCAAGUCACAACCAACCAUUAUAAAAGAAUUAAGCUCUUACCUUAUACUUGAGGUCUUCGUGCAAGACAAAAUCCAAGAACCUACACAAUGUAGAAAGACACCAAUACAUAGUCCUUUCACAUGAUUAAAUUGUCCUUUAAUUAAGUAAUCCAUUGGUAGCAUAAACUAGGAUUUUUUUUACCCUAAAACAAUGCCAUGUUGCAGAAAACACCAUUGAGGUGUUGAACCCUAAAGGUUGAUGACUAGAUGGCAUAUUGUACCCCUUCUAUGCAUCGAACACUGUUAGGCAUGGAUGGAAGAUAGAGAGAAUGAAAAACAGAGAGGAAAAAGAGGGGAAGAAGGUUCUUUUUCCUUUCUGUUCUUUAGCAUAGAGGAUGGAAAAUAAACAUAACAGUCAAUUUAAAUAGAAAGAAUCCAGUUAUUUAACAUGCUUAUAUUUCCCUCUUACCAAACGAAGGGAUGCAACAUAGUUUAACAUGUAGACUUCUCUAAGUCUCAGGUGAUCAGUUAGGUGGAUACCAAUGGAUUUCUUGAUUAAGGGUGUCAUUACAAAGACUCGAGGACCAUUUAAGCUGAUUUAGGUGCUAGUAAAAUAGAAUGAAAAUGUCUGUAUUCCAGAUUAUAUGUCUUCACAGAUACAUUUUUAGAGUAAACCGGGUAAGCUGAGGAUAAGAUGCCAUCAUAAAUUGAACAACCAAUGAAAUUAAGAAAAUGCAGAAGACAAAUGUCAGAUAAUAACCCAGCACUCUCAGUACAACUGCCAGUGGAUGGAAGAAGGUACAAGGUUUAGAACCCCUAAACAAAUGCAAACUAAAAACAGAAAAAGAUGCAAAAUAAGGAAAUAAAAGUCGGCAACAAGCAUGCCGGCUAGCUAGGUUCUUGGGCGCACAAAUAACAAAGCUUGGUGCUUUUGGUGGCAUGGAAAUGGAAAAUUUCAAAGAGAAAAAUAAGAUCUCCAUAUAUAUUUGGUCCUUCUAGGUUGUAGCAUCAGGGUGGGCCAUGAGUAUGUCAAACCCUGGUUCAUCUGGUCUUCAGGUUUAGGCAGGCUUCAUCAAAGUAGGCAGUAGGCUAGAUUCAGGCUUCGUAAGUCUCAGCUGUUUUAGUGGGAUUGGAAAGGCAUCAAAGGGAAAACAAGAGCAUCAGAUCUGUAAAUAGGGAAAUUGGAUAGGCUAUGUUAUCAAACUGUAUACACUAGUAUGUACUGGACAAUAUCAGAGAAGUGCCAAUUAUAACACUAGACAUAAGAAUACCAAAAUGAAAACUACAAUCUAUCUGCACGUACCACUCACGGAAUUUUAGUAACCAUAGUUUUAGCGCCGGGAAACAGAGGUAUGGCUUGAUAACCUGGUAAGAGAAGUUAACGAUGAAUACUGAAGAAUCCUAAGAGAGUGUGCAUGUACUAAUCUAACGAAACUAAGACUCAAAGACAUGCUUGGGAAAGAACAAACUGUAAACUGGCAUUGUACCCUCGAAGACAACUUCAUGUCAUGUAGUUCAAAUUUAAAUAUAAUGUUUAUGAUAGUGCAAUCACUCCCUCAGCCCCAAGCAUUUUUCCUGCAUUAGAUGAUAUUCAUGACAGUAAUGUGAACAACAAGAAAUAUGUUCUUUCAAGGAAAGAAAUUAUUCUCACCCAGAAGGACCACCACGUCCUGAAGAAUAAGCUCCAUAAGCACCAGGAGUACUACCAAUCUACAAAUAAUAUCUAAGAAUCAUAAUUAUUAAUUAUCAGCAUAGAGAUAGAGAGAGAGAUUGGGACAAUGUAAACAAAAUGAGAAAGCUAAAAUAUUAUAAGAAGCCAAAUAAGAAAUAAAUACUGAAGGGAAUAAGGAUUUAAGGGACUAAAAUUAUUUUCACUUGAUAAAUCGGAUAACGAAGUCCAACAAACUAUAUUUCUACAAUUCACCCACCUAAAGUACAGUAAAAUAGUAGAAGUUGUCAAAAGGAAAUACCUGGAGACCACCAUAACUUCCAUAGCCGUCACUAGCAGAUAAAUCACUAGAGCUAUAACCACCAGAAAAGGAGUGCACACGUCCAUGCCUUUUGCCCUCUCUACUUUCAUAACUUAAAUUGUCGGUUCCUUCAGUUGGCACAUGAAGAUACAGUAAAACUGGCACUAACGCAUUAACAGCACCUUCCCUAUCAAAUAGAUUUGCUCUUAACCGUGUUGUUAUUUGUACAAGGGCAUCCUUUGCAACAUCAAGGUCUCCAGCAAUCUGAAUAAUAACAGACCAACCAUGUUCUGUUCGUAUAAUUUUUUUUUUUAAAAAAGAGCCAACAAAUAGAAAGCAAUGAUUAAGAAAAUCCUAUAUAAAUGAUAGAACACCUGAACCAUCUCAUCAUCUUCAGAUGCAAUUUUUGGAAGAUUCUCCUUUGACAGGAUACGGAUAUUAGCUUUUGUGAUCCUUCUCAUCUCCGUUACAAUAGCUCCUCCUUUACCAAUAAGGCAACCAAUACGUGAGGUUGGCACAAGUAAGCGGGUUGUGAAUGAUACAAUUCCAGAGUCUCCUUCAACCUUCUCACUGCAUCUAGGUUGCAACCGUGCAGCAGCUUCGUUAGCAGGUGAAUACCUAUCCUCAAAGAACUAAUACAGCAGAAGAUUAGGAACCCCGUCAAAGCUUAGCAUAAGGCAGAGCAUAGACAAAUAAACAUAGCAAAGAUGAAAAGCUGACCUCCUUAGCUGAUAUAGUUAUUAAGCAAUCAUCUCCAUCUGUAGCUGAGCUAUCUACUUUGAUGGCUGCACCUGAUUCCUGCCUGAUCUAGUUGAUUAUAGCACCACCUUUGCCAAUCACCCCUCCAAUAUUAGCAGUUGGACAAACCAAACGAAGAGAAAAUUCUUUUGAUGACAUCUCAUCUCUUGGAGCUAAGUACAUGGAGCGUGGCCAUUCUCCAGUGUCACCUUUGUAUCGUCCAUAAGGUCCAACCAAUGAAGUUAUCCCUACAACCUGGGCACCAGCAGCUGCACCAAGCAUUGCACCAGCAGGAGGAUAUGCAUUUGACACAGCAGAAGCAAGCAAGUGCUGAGAUCGUGAAGGGUUCUCAUGAAGGCGAGAUGCAAUUUGAUGCAGAGCCUUUUUCACAACUGCAGAUUCCCCAGAUAUCUAAAGCCAAAAGUAAAUUUAAAUAUAAAAAGGCCAACCAUUUGAUAACAUUAUUAAUAUUAAAAAAAUAAAAAAGAACUAACAAUAUUACAGAUAACAAACAAAAGAAGGUGAAAUUUUCAGGAAAAAACAUACAAAAAAUAUAACAUAUUAAAAGCAUGCCAAAAACAGUCUCAAAAGAUAUAAUUCAUAAACUGAAGAACUCAAAGAUGAAAAAUUAAAUGCUGAUUUUGUCAACUACAGCAAUCAAAUCAACAAAAUCUUUGUCCAAUGUUGACCCUAAACACAAUAAAAGCCUCUUGCCAAUGCUUUCAAUAAAUUGAAACUCAUCUCAGCAUAACUUUUUCCCAUGUCGGUGUAUGGGCGUAAACUAUGUUUUAAAGGAGAGAAGAGAUUGUUAAAUGAAUAAGCAAAAUCUGAAAGUACUACAACAAUAAUCAAAUCGUCAAAUUACCUGUACAAGUUCAUCUGUGGACAAGGCACAAGAAGGUAAAUCAUCCUUAAGGAUGCGAAUCUGAGCACCAGUUUCACUACGUAUGUUCUGAACGAUCUGUCCACCCUUUCCUAUAACACAUCCAAUCUGAUCAGAAGAUACAAGAAGCCGAGCAGUAAUUUGGCAGCCUUCAGAAUCUUCAUCACUGUGCAAAUCUUCUGCAACAACUCUGUCAUGCACCCUGAAUAAAGCAUCUUGAGCAGAAGAAACAAAAGUAUGCCCAUCUUCAAGGGCAUUUCUCUCAUCUCUAGAGCUAUAGAUAGUAACCACGCGCUCAUCAGAACCAGGAAUUGCCUCACCAAUUCUAAUCUUUGAUUUAGUGUCUGCUCUUAAUUGCUUAACAAUCUCCCCUCCCCUUCCAAUAAUGCCUCCUAUCUUUCUUGCAGGGCACAAAUACCUAUAUACGGUAUCAUCUGAAUCAAUAACAAAUUGUUCCCUGUCAUCACCUGCAUUUCUCCUCUUAUUUGAUCCAUUCUCAGAAUAGUCAGACUGAGAAUGAGCCCGCUUCCCAUAGCUAUUCCUCUGACCCGCCAUUAUUAUCAGCAAAAAUAAAUACCUGGUUCCAAGACAAUAGUAAAACAUUACAAAUACUAAUUGAACCAAUCUUGAGGAUCGAACCACCCAAAAUGUAAAGCACCAGCACAAAAUGCUCAUCAACAGAACAAAUCAGUAACUAAAUUAUUUUCAUUUUUCAAUCAUCAAAGCAUAAUUCAGAUAACAUUAUAUCUCCACUUAAAAUUAAUUGUUGGUUUGAGUUUCUUAAUGAACAUUAAAACGCGCAUAAAAUUUAUGAUUGAACAAACACUAGAUUCCAACCAUGAUAGCAAAACUAUCAGUAAAAACAAUGAAAACAAAACAGUUAGCUCUCCACAGCUCAGCUUUACAACUAGGCAAAUUCAAAGAUAAAUUACUAACUGUAUCUCAACUUUGACCCACAAGUUUAUCUUCCAUAACAAAUAAAAAUCCCACUUCAAAUCACCCAUCCAAAAUUAAUAUAACAGACAAUAAAGGGAAACCCAAUAUUAGAAAGAUUCAAUUACGUAAAAGAAUAAAAAGUUCAAAUCAACCCACAAAUGUAAACAGCAUAAAUAUAAAUAGUCUCCGAAAACUGACACAAAACACAUUAUAUUCAAUAAAGAAACUAUAAUUCCGCUCAUCAAAUACAGAAAGAACGAUAAUUCCAGUCAAAAAUGAAUUUAAAAAGAAAAUAAGAGCAGAAAAUGUAGAUUGUAGAUCUGAUUAAAAGAGUAUUUAAAAAAAGCAAGAGCAAUCAGAGGGGAAUUAAUUGCCAAAAGAUAAUGGGGUUUUACCUGAGAAUUGAGAUUGAUUCUCAGCGUCUAAACAAUGUGAUUUUUCAACAAAAAUAAUGAAAAAAAACAAGGACUAAAGAGAGAAUUUGGGGGCGCUCUGUUGAAUAAUUUGCUUUCAUGAGCUCAUUUGAUUUCUAACUUGUUGGAAAUGAUUAGUUUUUGUAUUUUUCAUUUUUCUAUUUUAUUCGUGUUGAAUGAAUUUAUAAAUAAGAUUUUUUUUUACUAUAUGGAUAUUAAUUUUUUAGUCAAGGAUGUUUACAGUGUAACCCGGGUUCGAGUCAUGUUAGUGGCAUUAUUUGUUCGAGCUUUAUUAUUUUAUUAUAAUUUACUAAAAAUAAAAAAAUAACUUUUAUAAUAAAAUAUUUUCUCUUAUUAAAUAUGUAUAUAGAUAAUGUUUGAUGGAGCUACAAAUUAACUUAAUAUUUAAUUUCUUAAAAAUAAAAUUUUAAUAUAGAAUUUUAUUUUCACUAAUUUGAUAACUUUUUAUAUGUAAUAGAAUGAUAAAUAAUUAGAGUAUAUUUGAUAUUAUUAAUAUGAUAUAUUUAACUAUUUUAAUUUUUUUACUUGUAAGUUAAAUUUUUUUUAUUUUAAUUUCGUACAUAAUGCAUAUAUGUUCUUAUAUUUUUAAUAUGUGUUUUUCACAUAUAUUUACGUGUGUCUAGUUAAAAAUAAAAUACAUAUAUGUAAAAAAAAUUAAAAAAGUAAAAAAAAAUCAAUUAAACCCUUGUAUUAAAUUCACAUCCAAUUGAGUCUUUGUAAAUAAUUAAGAUAAUCAAUUAAGCUCAAAUUUACAUUUUAUUCAUUUUAGUUCCUAAUGUACGAAACUAUUAAUUAAGCUUAACAAUUUUGUCUUUUUUUUCAUAUCUAAGCUUAAAAUAUAUUAAUUUAACACCUAAAACUUUCAAUUCUCAAUUAUGAAAAUUUUAAAAAAAUUAACAGUCUUGUAAAUUUAUAUAUGGGCUAAUUAGAUUAAGGUUCUACGAUCUCAAAAAUAUAAAAAUUAAAAUAAAAUGAUUAAAUUGCACUAAAUAAUAUUGUAGAAUAAAAACUUGGUAUUCGGCUAUGGUGUUUUCUCCUUUAUUUUUUCUCAAAAAUAUAAAAAUUACAAUAAAAUGACUAAGUUGCACUAAACAAUAUUGUAGAAUAAAAACUUGAUAUUCCGCUAUGGCGUUUUCUCCUUCAAUUUCUCUCAAUUUCGCUGGGAAGAAGAUGUGUUAUCUUUCUUCCCACCAAUUCUAUAAUAUAUACAUAUAUUACCCUUAUACUUAGUUUUAAUUAAUUAUGUUUACCUUUAAUUAAUAAAUUUUAAGCAUAAUCAUGUUAUAUCGUCCACUAGCGUUUGGUUUAAUAUGGUCUAAUUGCCAUUUUAGACCUUUAGCUAAUUAAAAUUUAAGUCGUAAAGUUAUUUUUUAAUUGAAAAUUUAUAGUGAUUAAACUUUACAAUUUAGUCCCUAAGCCCUAAUUAAACACAUUUUUGGCUAAAUUACUUAUCCAAAAUUCUAUAUAAUAACUCUGUAAUUAUUUAAUAAAAAUAUUUACGGGUUCAAUUUACAGAAACGAGGUCCCGAAAUCGUAUUUUCCGACAUUUCGGGUUGUUACAUUUCUAACAUGAAAGGGCUGUUACAUUUCUAACAUGAAAGGGCAUGUUAAAAAAUUAACUGAGGAGGUGCAGACUCUAAAAAGUCAGUUGAAAGAGAAGGCCAAAAAGAUUGAGGAUUUUACAAUCGAGAUUUUUAAGAAAAAAGAGUCUUAUGCCGCUGGUAAAGCCUCGUUUACCUUGGCUCAAGGGAAGUUGUUGGACUUAUUUCAGGACCAACUGUCUUAGCCCUACAAGUUGUCUAUGGUCCUUUCGACUACCGGCAGUUGAACUUGGCACCUCUACUAGAAGAGGACUUUGAUUUGUUAAGCUUCGAUCUGAACGAUUCGGAUCUUGACAAUUACAAAUGGAAAGAGUUUCGAGAGUGACUCCAGAUUCCUUUGACUACUCCGAAGGAGACGCCUUCUGCUGAGACAACAAUAAGAAAUGCCUCUACUGAAAGUGAUCAUGUAGGUAAGGAGUCGGAUGGUGGUUUUUUAAAAGAUAUAGAUCCCCCUACUGCUAAUGUUACCUUCAAGAAGAAUAAUGUUAACCUUGCUAAGAAUAAUACUUGUAAUACUAGCCAUAAAUCCCUUGUUGAUGUUGAGUGGCUUAUUUUCUCUUAAUAAAUAAAAUUAUAUUUUCCUUCCAUUCCCUUUCUGCUUCGUUGUUUAUUUAUUCUUAGGAAAGUUUCUUUCAAAGUAAUUAGGUGUAAUGACCAUUCGUUAUUACUAUGACGCUUUCAUUGACAAACGCUAAUACCUGCAAGUUUGCUAACUUUGAGAGAACUAAGAUAUUGUGUCGUCAAAUUUCUUGUCAUUUAGAAGGAUUCGAGUGUACAAAAGCUUUUCUAUUAACAUCUUCUAGUGUAGGAAUUACUUUUCUUAUUUUCUUGAUAGAAAUAUUCGUUGUGAUUAUUUAUCUUGGAUAAAAUCUUUCGAAUGACCCUACCACUAAACCAAUUUACCACGACUUUAAACUUGUAUUAAUGGCGUAUUCUUUUCUAAUAACACUAAUGUUUUCUUUGAGAAACAUCCUUUUUUAGGGUCAUUUCUUGAGUACUAGAACAUUUUGGAAAGUCCUGAUCCCACACAUAUGGGGAGGCUUACGAGAGGUCCUGCUCCUACCACAUAAGGAGAGGCUUAUGGGAGGUCCUACUUCCUACUAGUUGACUUGCAUCUACGUUCUUCAUAACCAAGUCUCCUACCAGAAACUCCCACCUAUGCACCUUGGAGUUGCAGUAUUUGCCCACCUAUUGAGCUCUAGCUACUAGGCAGAGGGUUGCUUAAUUUCUGGUUUCUUCUAGGAGAUUUAAGUUCUCUCAGAGCAUAACUUCGUUAGCUUGGGAGGUAUAAUGCAGCAUACGAUGGAUGUUGGGGCCAAUUUCUAUGGGUAUCACCAUUCCAGUCUCAUAUAUAAUAUUAAAGGAAUCUCUCAUGUUCCUAAGAGACCAUAAAAUUCUAAUGAGUUCCUCCAACCAUCUGUUCUUGGCCGCAUCCACUUCCUUCUUCAGCCCUUGGAGGAUUUUCUUAUUGGUGCCCUUGGUUUGACCAUUCGUUUAUGGCAUCUUGACUAAACUGUGUCAAAUAAAUGUGAAGAUUCUCACAAAAAUCCUUAAAUUUCCUUUGAAUUUGGGUUCCGCUGUCUGCACAUAGAAUCCCACACCAGCAAAUGAUGGUCUUUCACACAAAAUUUUCCAUUUACUUUUCAAUGAUGGUGGCAAAGGCUUCAACUUCCAUCCACUUGGUGAAAUACUCGAUGACUAUCACAAUAUGUUUCUUCUACACAAAAACAUGUGAAAAUGGGCCAACUAUGUCAAUUCCCCAAGUGUCGAACGGCCAGAGACUAGAGAUGCUUUGGAGAGUUUCGUUGGUCAUCGAGGCGCCGGUGAGAAUUUUUGGCAAGGUUCACAAUUGGCGACAUAUUUCACCAUGUCUUUCUACAUUAAGGGCCAGUAGUAACCCUGCCAUAGGAUUCUUUAAGUGAGAGCCCUUGCACCCGAAUGAUGUGCGCAAAUUACUUCAUGGACUUUCGCCAUUAUAUCAUCAGCUUCGGAAGGUACCAAACACCUAAGGAGUGGUUGGAGAAAUCUCUAAUAGGACCCCAUCAAUCAAAAUAUAAUGGGAAGCCAACCAUCCUACCAUUUCAUGCUCUUUUGGGUUCCUAAACACAUUUUCUUCUAUUAAGAAUCUCGAAUACGGCUCAUCCAAGUGUCUUUAGAGUCAACAGUGAAAACUUGCUCCGGUGCUUCAUGACUUGGAUGCUCAUUGUGUUCCAACAAGAUUUUCCCCCUUUCCAUGAUGUUGAUGGUGCCGGCUAACUUUAAGAAGGCAUCUGCUCUGGCAUUUUCUGUGAUUAGGAUUAACUUGAAUUUUCGAGAACCCCUUAACUAGAUCCAUAACUAAGUAGUACUUGGCCAGUGUUGGUUUUUUUGACAACGUACUCUCCCUCAACUUACUUCGCCACUAGUUGUGAAUUCGUGUGGACAUGGAGAUUCCAGAUGCUUAAUUUAUGAGCCAAUUCUAGUACUACCACCAGGGCUUCAUAUUCAACAAUAUUGUUGGAGGUGGAGAAAGAGAAGGACAAAUUGUACUACUAUUUUUCUCCUUCAGCUCCUACUAAUAGAACUCCAGUUCUAAAACCUUUUUUUUUUUAAAUUCGUUUACAUAGAGAAUUUAAUAAUUUUCUUGCAAUGGAUUAGGGUUCACAAAAGGACCUUUUGGGUAGUUGAUGAACCUCAUCGGGGUUGUUAUUAGAAGCUUUGAAUGGUCAAGAAAAUGAGCACUCAUCUAUGAAGUUAGCUAGAGCUUGGGGCUUGACUGCCUUCCACAAUAGAUAUUCUGGCCUAAAUUCACUUAGCUCGACACUUCAUUUGAUCACCUUUCUAAAAGUGUCAACCUUGCCCAGGAUAUCCUUAAGUGGUUGGUCGGAUAAGACCACGAUGGGGUGAGCUUGAAAAUAAGGACGGAUUUUUCUUGCAACCAUUACCAAGGCAAAGACAAUCUUUUCUACCUUGAAGUAGUUUAGCUCUUCGUCUUGCAGAACCCUGCUGACAUAAUAAAUUGGUUACCGUUGUCCACCAAUUUUCUUAAACAAGCCGCUGCUACUGUUUUGUCGGAUGCAACAAGAUACACAUACAAUGGUGACGAAACAGUAGUUUCGAGACCACAAAUUUUUAUCGUAUCGACUCGUUAUUAUUAUUUUUAGAAUAUUUAUAGAGUUAUUAGAGUCAUAUUAAAAUUGUUCGGAAAUAUUAACGUUUAGAUACUUAAUUAAAUAAAAUGACUAAAUUGAAAAAAGUGCAAAAAUUAGUAAUUAGUUCAAUUAAAUGAGUAAAUGGCUUAUUAAUUACAUGAGGGACCAAUAUAAUAAUUAAUCCCUAAUGGAUAGUGUUGGACGGCAAAAGGAGUUAAAAUGAUAAAUUAAUGUGAUUUUAAUAGCAUAAUUGUAAAUAAAUAGAAAUUAAAUAAAACAAAUUAGAAGAAAUAAGUUUUUCUUCUUCAUUUCUUCUUAUUCCAUUGCCGAAACACCAUAAAAGUAGUUUGGGAAUCGGUUGAGCAUAAAAGCUUGCAUGUGAGUUUAAUUCUUACCUGUUUCUUGUAAUUUUUAUGUUUUUGAGAUCGUUGCAACUAGGUCCAACUAACCUGUACAUUCGUUUCUAAUUCUGUUAAAAAUUUUGUAAGUUACAAUUGUUGAAUAUUGGAUUUUUUAUUAAUAUAAUGUAUUUGGAGCUUUAAUUUUGUUGUUUGAUGAUUUUGUAAAGAGUUUUUUUGUUAAAUUUUAAUUUUACGAUUAAAUUGUGUAAAUUCGAAAAAUAAAAGGGUAUUAAUUGUAAAAUGGAUCGAAAAUGAAAUAUAUGCUAAUAAAUGAGUAAUUUUACAUUUUAGAUCAAGAUCCCAUAGAUACUCAUAGAAAAGGAAAAAUAGUGGAAUAGUACUUGAACUUUUACAACUACUACAAUUUAGUCCAAGUAAGUUCGUACGGUUAAAAUUUAACAUUUCUAUACAUAGGGAAUUGGUAUUACAAGAUAUAAUAUAUAUAUAUAUAUGUUCCAUUGUUGGAAAUGAAUCAUUAUUUGAGUUAUAAUAUUGAAUUUGAUGCUCGAUUUCAAUUGAACGCGAGAUAGAGUACAUUCUUGUUUUAAUGUGUUACAUGGGUUUAAAGUGGAGAUGGUAUUAGAGGGAGAUAUCUGUAUAUUACCCAAGUAAAAUGAGGUUCAGCAUUUGUUGCAAACUCUUUUCUGUUUGGUGUGAUUCAGGUGGAUCAGCUCUUAUGAGAUUUUGUUCAGUUCUUAUGAGCUUCUGUUGGCGUGUUUCGGGUGGACCAACUCUUAUGAGCUUCUGUUUGGCGUAUUUCUGCUGGAUCAGCUCUUAUGAGUUUCUGUCUAGUGUGUUCGGUCUAUCUGACGAUGUACUCGUACCCGUAAGUCAUUCUUUGAAUGGAAAAUCUCGAUAAGGUAAUCUAUUUAAUGAAUUUGAAAGAUAUGGUACAUAUUCCAUAUUCAUAUGAACAUAGAUGAACUUAUCGAUUGGAAUUGUAAAUGACAAGGAGUUUUCAUGGAUGAUUAUUAUUGUUAGACUUAUUAUAAUUUGUUUAAUAAGAUUUAUCGUUUAAUAUGUCGAACUUACUAAGCUUUAUUAAGCUUACUUGUGUUGUUUAAUGUCAUUAUAGAUUCUUGGAAGGUUGGACGAUCGGAUCAGUACUCAAGUCACACUAUCCAGCUCAUUUUGGUAGUUUUUGGAACGUAUAAUACAAACUAUAUUGCAUGUAUAGGCUCUUGUGUGGUUUUGGUUAUUGUUUGGCUUAUAUAAAUAUUAUGAAUGAUAUUUUGUGCAGAUAAACAACUUAAAUAUUACAUGAGAAUGAGAUAUAAUUUUUAUGCUAGUAUGAAUUGGUAUAUAUAAAUGAAAUAUUGCUAUUGUGGUACCUUUGAUAGGUCUUUUGAUUAGGUAUUUCUUGAAUGAAUCAAUUAAUUGAAUUGAUGUUUAUUUUGAUGUAUAAUUAUAUAUAUGGUACCAAGAGGGUACAUUGGUUAGACACUUACUAGGUUGGUUUUGUUGUGUUUUUGGUUCAAUUAAUGUCAUUUUGAAUUGAUAUUUUGGUUGGUAUUUGAGUUUCUUAAGGUCCAAACAAACUUGAAAUGGUAAACCUGUGUUUUAAGAUUCAUUUGGGGGCUACAUGGCCAUGCGACAUGGCCGUGUGUCCCUUGUAGGUUCAAGGCAUGCAAGUCAGGUAGUUACACGGCCUAGCACACGGCUUGGCAUACGGGUGUGUGAAGCCAUCACGGGCGUGUGACUUGGUUGUGUGACCUAAGUCAGUGAGUUACACAGGCAUGUACACGGCCUAGUCAUACGGCCGUGUGAUCCCUACAUCUAAAUUUUCUAACUUUUUCUUAAAAUUUCCAAAUGUUUUCGAUUUAGUCCCAGACUGUUUCUAUAGUAUUUUUAACAAAGUAGAGGAGAUCUAUGUUGGUUUUGUGGAUCAUUUUAAUGGUGGAUUCUGAUUUUUCAGAGUUGAACUAACUAAAUACAUUCCCUGUUGCACCAUACGCUACUACUUAUGAUUGGAACUACAGCUGGAUUUACAUAACAAAUAUUCGAUAUACAAAUGGAUAUCCUCUUUUAGCUGUUGAAAAUUGAAAAUCAUGUAUUCAUUUAUUCAUGCUCCAUUAUCAGGUAUGGAGUUUCUUUCAGAAAAAUAAAAUCCAUUCCGGGACCCAUGUUUCUAGGUUCAACAAUGAUUGAAAGAGUAGAAGAAGAAGUUGAUUGAUGUAAUGUUGGUCAUUUACAUGAUUCUCACCGUUCAUCAAACAUCCAUGUGAUCUCUCAUUAUUUUAAAUUGCAGAAUAUAAAAGAUGAUGAUAAACUUGUCCAUUAAAGUAUUACGGAGAUAUUGCAUUAGGAGUCGGAUUUUAUUGUCUUUUAAGUUCAAAAAAUAAGUAAAUUAGUCUUUGUACAAUAAAUAAAAGAGCAAAUUAAUCUUGGAAUAUUAAAAAUUGGUUAUUAUAUGUUAACAUGCAUGAAUUACACAUGGUACACUAUUCCAUCAUCCACAUCAAAUUGAUGAAAUUUUUAACAGAAAGAACAAAUUUGCGCUUUGAUCUAACGUAAAGAUAUUAAUUACCCAUUUUCUGAGUAGAAGAGUAAAAUGUAAUCUGAUUUUUAGUACAAAUACAUUUAUGAUAUUUUAACCAAACUUUGACGCAUAAUUUUUUAUUAGGGGUAUGAUAAUGGUUUUAGAAAAACAAAUGUUAUAGACUUAACUGAAUCAAAUUGUAUGAGUUUAGAUUGGAAAAAUAAAUAAACAGUAUCAGAGAAGAAAGAAAAGAUGGUAUUGUUCCGUAAUGUGGUGAAAGGGUCACUAAAUCUAUAUCAUUAUAAUGGAGUAUUAGUUGUUAGUUUAGGUUCCAUUAUCAACACCUCUCUUCUAAAAAGAGAAUCCUGGAAAUUCUAAGACAGCUAGUAGCAUUACUAUUAUUUGAUAGAGCGAUGUUUGGACAAAAUGUGCAGUGGUGUGAGAUUAUGGUUUCAGAUUUUCAUAAAAUAUAGUGAUAAUUGCAGGCAAAAUAAGGUGUAUGAAGCUUGGGGGUUCCGGUCUUUGAGCUCUUUGUGUCAGUAUGGAUAUAUUUGGAAGGAGGUUUGAUUGGUUAUUUUUCGAGUAGAUUGAUCCAACUCCGCAAAAUCUCAAAAACAGCUCUAGUUUAAAUAAAGUCACUUGCACAGUACAUUUCUCAACUAUUCUCUAUACUUACAUCCUCCAAUUAUCAAUAUUUCAUUUUAAAAUAUUAAAAAGAACUCAUAACUUUAAAAAUUAAAUUAAAAAUAAAAGGAGUUUCAUCGUUACAAAAGUUUUGGAAACUUCAAAAUUAAGACAUUUACAUUAUUCAUUUUCUUUUAGAUAUUUCAUUUAAAAUUAUGUCACAUAAAAUUUAACUAGUCAUUUAAUAAUUAAAUUAACGAUUUUAAUAAUAAAAUGACCUAAUUAACAUAGCUUUAAUAAUUUAAAUAAUUUCAAGUCUAGAGACCAAUUUAAAAUGAGAAUAUUUGAUUUGAUUAAGUUGUUUUAAUAUUACCCGAAAUAUUAUAAUAGAUUAUGUUGUUGAGUAAUAUUUAAUCUAAUUAUUAUUAGAUAAAGUAGUACAUAUUUGAAUAUAAUUAAAAAAAACAACAUAAGAAAGUUAUAAUAAUUUGUCCGUUAAAAUCCAACUUAUUUGAUAAAAUUGAAACAAUAAAACAAUAGGAGCAACAUGAAAUUGGUUCAAUAAAUACAAAUUUGUAAUUAUAUCAAACUAUAAGGGUACUUUCUUAUGAUCUCUUUUUCUCUAUAAAAUCCUCUCCUACUCUUUCCCAUUCUAAAAGCGAACGGUUGGUUCUCUGGUAAAAUGUCGGCAGGGCCUGAAAAGUACACCAAAAUUUGCCACAUUGUGAGGCUUCGACAAAUGUUGCAGCGGUGGAGGAACAAGGCCCGAAUGUCAGCCCGCCGUAUCCCUUCCGAUGUGCUAGUAGGUCACGUGGCGAUCUACGUCUGGACAAGUUACAGGAGAUAUGUGGUGCGCGUCUUUAGGAAACUCCUUAUCCAAGCCAAGGAAGAGUAUGGGUUUAGUAACCAAGGCUUGUUAGCCAUCCUCUGCGAUGAGUAGGUUGUCGAACAAGUGAUCCAGCUUAUUUCUGGGAAUCAUAAGUAAGCUUGAUUUCGCAACCGAAUCUCGACCCUUACUUUAUGGCUCCGCUGGUAAAGAACGAUAUAGUGGAAUAGAAAGGAAAGCCUUGGAUUCUUACAUAGGGAUUUUGAGUCAGUUUUUAGUUGGCUCGAGUGAAUAAUUACGUGAAACCAAUGAAUUGGCUUUUUGUUUCUUUAUUUUUUUUAAAAAUUGUUGCUAAUCGACUAUAAAGGGGAAAGGGGGUCAAAUGAGUUGAGUCACUGUAUUAACUUGGAGCAAUGCAUGGGGAAUUUUUACCAAAUUAAUACAAAAAAAAGGUACUAAAAUAAUACAAAGGCAAAAGUAUGUACUAAAAUGGUACAUUUAGGGUGGUGCCGCCUUUGGCAGAGGCGUAACCACCCUAUCCCUCUGACAUCUGUCACCAAAUUAGUUAAAAAAUAAAUUGUAUUAAAAAAAACAUAAACUGUUUUUUAAAAAAAAGAGAGGAGGGUGUGCCAAAAGCGGCACUGGUGAAGCCUCUGUCAGGGGCGACACCAGUUGCUAACGUGGCACACAUGGCACCCUCUCCCCCAAACCUCUAUUUAAGCCAUCGAAGGCACACAGCAGUAAAAAAAAUUGCAAAAAAAUAGAGGGGGAAGAGAAAAAAGAAAGGAAGAAUAAAUAACUUUUUCCAGUAAAAAAAAUUACAGAAGAAGAGAGGGAGAAAAGAGGAAAAAAAAGGUAACUUUUUUUGUUAUUUUUAAAUAGAAUAGAUUAUGAUAAGAAAAAAUUAUUUUGUUAGUAUUAUAUAUUUUGUUUAGUGUUAUUUUUAUGUUUUGUUGUAAAAGUUAUUUUGUUUAUUUGUGAUUUGUUAGUAAGUUUUGUAUUUAGAAAUUUUGCUUAUUUUUUAACAGAUUGAGUAUUGAGGAUGGAUAAUCAGUUUUUCGAAUGCGUUUAUUUCGAUAGAAUCAUCUUGACAACAACUGUUGGAUGCAUAUUUGAAUGCUGGCAACAAAUAGCAAUGAGAUUUAAUAGAAAUGUCUCGUUGGAUGAUAUGAAGGGAAGGAUUAAAGCAAAAAUUGUACGACGUUGUAGGAGAAGGACCUCGAAACUUUUCUACAAGUUUCUAAUUUUGACAAAUCCUAUCAAAUUCACUGAAAUGGAACUUGUAGACGACGAAGAUGUAGAGAUAAUGAUCGCUCUUUAUGUGGGAAUGGGAGUGACAAAAAUGCACCAAUUCACUUAUUUGUUGAGUUAGCCGGUAUGGAGCAAAAUGAAGAUCUUACUGUAUAUGGUGAAGAACAUGGAGCUCAAGAAUCGUGCGUAGUGGCUCCAAUAUCAUACAUUGAUAGUGAAUCGACUAUACGUGGGAUCAGUAUCGAUCUUAAUGUUACACCCGAUAUUGAUGUAGUUGGUGAUGAUGGAUACGACAGUAGUGAUUCUUGUGAUCAAGAGUCGAUAGUGAUAGUGAUCCUAAUGUAGACGAUGUCCCCAAUGAUAUUGACGACGAAUAUGUGAUUGACAAUGGAAAUAUUAAUGCGUCUUCGAUCGGGAACCAGAUGCGACGUAUUGUGAUACACAAUAAUCCUAGGCCACACAUGUCGCUCAUAGACCCCGACGUGGUGCACGCAACUGAGUUCUCGGAGUACCCUGAAAUACUUCCUGAUUACCGGCUGGCAGUAAAUUCCAAUCUUGAGGAGUUAUUCGUAGGCCAAAGAUUCGAAAGUAAGGAAGAGUACGUAUUUUCUAUUAAGUGGUAUAACAUGAAUAUAUCAGUGGAUUACAAAGUUGCAGUGUCUAAACUGACAUUAUAUAUUGAGGAGUGUUGGAAGUUGGCGGAAGGCUGCAAUUGGCGGGUACGAGCUGCAUUUAUUCAAAAUUCGAAGAUGUGGAAGAUACAAAAAUUUGUUGGGCCUCACACAUGCACAUCAACUCGUAUGAUAGAAGAUCAUCAAAAACUUGAUUCUAAAACUAUCUAUACGUGUAUCAUGCCAAUGGUAAAGGACAUGCCGACCAUUAAAGUUUCAGUACUGUUUACCGAAAUGCAGGCAUGAUUUCAGUAUCGAGUAUCAUAUCGAAAGGCGUGGAUAGCUAACAGAUGGCAAUUGAACAAUUGUAUGGGGAUUUCGAUGUGUCAUAUAAUGAGCUACAUGGAUGGAUAGCUGCUGUGCGGGAGUAUGUAUCGAGGACUGUCAUUGAGUUAUACAAACACGACCUUAUUAUGGCCCGGAUGACCAACUACAGCGGGGAAAAAGAAUUUUCCUUCGAAUGUUCUAGACGUUUGAUCCAUGUGUGUGGGCAUUUCCCCACUGCAAGCCGUUUGUGCAAGUGGAUGGGACCUGGCUAUAUGGAAAAUACACACAGAUCCUACUCCUUGAGGUUGCUUAAGAAGGCAAUAAGAACGUACUCUUGAUAGCAUUUGUCAUCGUAGAUAAAGAGAAUAUGAAAUCUUGGGAAUUCUUCCUUACCAACCUGCGGAGGUAUGUUAUUAGCAAUGAUAAUAUUUGCAUCAUUUCUGAUAGAGGGAAAUGAUUAAUUGCCGCAAUUAGGCGUUUCGGUGUGUCAUGAAGAUCCGUUUACUGCAUCCAUCACAUUGUGACUAACUUCCAUUGAGAUUAUAAAAGUGCAGACUGAAAGAGACAAAUAGUGAAAAUGGGUAAAUGAUAACCUUAUCUUUUUAAUAUAAGGUAUCAAACUUCAUUAAUGUAAACUCUAUAUCUUCUUUGUCUUUUUUCUUUCUAAUAUAAAACUUUCACUCACUGUUUCUCUUUGUAUAUAUAUAUGGGUGAAUAUAUUUGAUAACUACUUUUAUUAUAAGAAUAGGAUUAAAAUAUUUUUUUUAUUAAAUUAAAUAAAAGAUUAAAUCGAUCUAUUUAAUAGUAGAAUGAAGAAUUUACUCUAGUCUCUAUAAUAAAGCAAUUUAACAUUUACUUUUUUACUCUAAUCUCUAUAAUAAAGCAAUUUAACAUUUACUGUUACUUAUAUAUAUAUAUAUAAUAGUAUAAUGACUUAUUUGACCCUCUAAUCUUAUAAAAAUAAUCAUUUUAGAAUGACUGAAAGAAUCCACAUGAUAUACCAUGUCAAUAAUUAAUUAAUUCUUUAAUUUAAAAAGUAUUUUUUUUAUUCUUUUAUAAUUUAUAAUAAUUUUAAAAUAAAUAUUUUAAAAUUUUAAAAUUUUAAAAUAAUUAAUUAAUUGAUAAUGUGGCAUUCCUUAUAUAGUACAUAAAUAAAGUCACAAACUAAAUGUUUUAGAAACUCUAGAAUUCUCUAGGAUUGUAUAUACUUGUAUAGCGUAUUUAAGAAUCAUAAAUUUGAUCCUACAUUUGUAUUGUUUGUAACCAUUAGAUGGAGAGGGCUUGGCCUAUAAAUAAGUACAUACUUUUCUUUAUACGUAAUUCAUUCGUUUAACAAUAAUUGAGUAAAACUUUGAAAAAUAAAAUCUUUUUAAAAAGAUAAUUUAAAUGUAAAAAGAUUAAAAUUUAUACAUUUUGUCCAAAAUAUUUUAAAUUUAUUUUCACGUAUUUUUUAUUAUUUUAUAUUUACAUAUAAAGUAGAAAGAAUAAUUUUGACAAAUUAAAUUUUUUUGAGCAUGUAACCUAAUCCAAAUUCAUUUCAAAUUGUUAUGUUACUCAAUGUUGUGCUUUUUUAAAAAAAAUUAAUUAUAUAUUAUAUUUUAUCAAUCAAUAUAACAAUUUCAGUAUAUAUAGCUUCUUAGUAUUUGUAUAUUUAAUACAAAUAUGGAUUAAUAUUUGAUACAAUUUUACCCAUCAUUUAUUUUUUGGUAUCACUUAGUUUUGAGGGUUGAUUUGAAAUCAAUGUGGUUAGUUUUGCAUUGGUUUCACUUGUAUUGGUUACUACGUAUUACUUUAAUAAUAAAAUUCUACAUACCAUUAUCACUAAAUUUGUGUAUAUAUAAAUAUAUAUAUAUUUGAAAAUUUUCUUUAAAAAAAAUAACAUUUAAUAAUCAAAUAGUGAAAUCUUUAAAAAAUAUUAUUUUAAAAAAAAAUUAAAAUAAACAAAAUGUAGCUAGCUUUCAAAUGUGGAUGAAAAAUUAAAAUAAUGAAAAUUUGAAAUCAACACAAUCUAUAAACGAUUAAAGUUAGAUGGAAUGUAUAAAAAUUUAAAAUAAGCAAUACAUGAGGAAGUUUAAAAUAGAUCAUAUAAUAAAAUAGAAUUUUAAAAUAGACCGAUCAUAAAAUAAAACAAAAUUUUAAAAAAUAUAUAUAUAAAUGAAAGUAUAUGAAAACAAAUUAAAAAACUGUAAAAUUAAUAAAACAACACAAAAUAACAUAUUAAAAUAACUUUAGAACUGAAUAACAAAUAAAUUGAAAAGAAUUAAAGAAUUACAUAAGAUAAAAACUCAAUUGAAAUGAAUACAAAUUGAAAGGGAUAAUUUGUUAAUAAAUAAACUUAUGAAACCAAAUCGAGGACUAAAACACAAUGUGCGCAAAUAAAAAAGUAUUAAAAACUGAAAUAAGCCAAAUCUCAAAACAAAGCCGUUUCAUACACUAUAUAAAAUCAAAAUAAAACUCUAAAGCUUGCAGUAUUUUGCCAUUUUACAAACAGACAGAAAAAAAAAACUUGAAGUUCUCUUAACUCGUAUAUUCAGCCAAUUCAAACCUCUCCUCAAACACCACUAUUCUACUAGAAACGGUGACCGGCGACGCGUAGAGGUCCGAUUUACAAUCAAGACUCAAAGGCUGCCAAUUUCAGCCUUGAAAUCCCCUCCAGAACUCCGAUUUCAACUAAGAAUGAGAAGAUUCCAGCGGCCUAUUUGCGAAUGUAAGCCCCUCCCUUUUCCUUUUAUUCGCAUGCAAUAGGAAAUGAAUAAAAGAUCAAAGAAAAAGAAAGAAAAUCGGAAGACAAAAAAUCACCUUUUAACUCUUGAUUUUUUUUGAAUGAUUUUUAUUUUCUUGUAUGUGUGUGUACAAAAUAAAAAUGGGAUCAGAUCUAAAUUAACCCUCUUUCUUUCAAAAUUUAGUUUGCGUAUUUGUGCUUGUGUAUACAAUAUGCGUAGGUGUGGGUGUAUACAAAGAAAAUUAGCCCCGAUUUACAGAUUAGAAUCGGCCUUUUAUAGCCUAAUGAAAAGAAAAAAUAAAAAUAAAAUGCUAAAUUCUAUUAUCCUCUCUGUCAAUUGCUGGCUGCUUGCUUUCUGUUUUCUAAUAUGUUGCUGGCCUUUUUUUGUAUUUAUUUUGUAUUUAUUUUUUGGUUUUAAUUUUUGGUUUCUAAAAGGCCAGGCAAAAUGGGCCUAUUAGAAUUAUCACUAAAUUUGUGUGUGUAUAUAUAUACACUACAAGAAAACAGACUUUUAGCGGCGUUUUUAGUGGCGUUUGAACAAAAAACGCCUCAAAUAUUAUACGUUAGCGGCGUUUACUUAAAAAUACCGAAAAAAAGAGAAAUAACGGCCUUUUUUACCCAAACGCCACUAAAAACUGAUCAAUAGCAGCGUUUUUAUCUAAAACGCCACUAAAAACUAAUCAAUAACGGCGUUUUUGUCUAAGACGCCACUAAAAACUGGAGGAAUAGCGGCAUUUUUAUCCAAACGCCACUAAAAACUGGAGAAAUAACGGUGUUUUUGUCCAAACGCCACUAAAAACUGGAGAAAUAGCGGCAUUUUUGUCCAAACACCACUAAAAUUGAUCAAUAGCGGCGUUUUAGGCCCAAACGACACAAAAAAGUUUAUCUAUAGCGGCGUUUUUGGUUCAAAUACUGAAAAAAAUUGAGCUUCCAUUUUUGAAUAGGGUAACCAACACUCGUUUCAAUUUGAUCUGAUUUAAUUUUCAUAUUAUUUUCUUAUUAUUUUCAUAUUAUUUUCAUAAUUUUUUUUGAAUUCGAUUUAAUAUAAACUACACCAUUCAUUUAACUAUGAGAAAGUUUCAUUUUAAUUACUUAAUUAUGAAAAGUUACAAAUUGAUAACUAAACUAUUUAGAAGUUUUCAUUUAAGUUACUAAGCUGUUAAAAUCGACGUUGUAUGGCUUUCUCUAAACCCUUAAACCCUAAACCUUAACCUUAAAUCCUAAAUUCUAAAAACAUAAACCCUAAACACUAAUUCAUAAAUUCUAAAACCCUAAACCCCUAAAAAAAUUCAUAUGGAUGUUGAUGUGUGUAUAUACAUAGAUAAUGUAAAAGCUUAUGUUUAUAUUAAUAAAUUGUGGAAGCAGUACUUAAUAUUGAUUAAAUUUAUUUUUGGGUUUAGUGUUUAAUAUUUAAGGUUAAGGCCUAUGGUCUAGGGUUGAAAUGGUAGUAUAUAUUUUAAGUUCAUGGUUUAGGGUUCAAUGGUAGUAUGUGAAGUUUAUGGUUUGGGGUUUGCUAUUUUGGGUUUGGGGUAUAGUGUUUUAAAUUAGUUUGUUAUUUGGGGUUUGGUGUUUUAAAGUGUUUAGGGUCUUAGUUUUCAAGGUUUUAAGGGUUAGGGUAUUAGGGUUUAAGGGCUUAAGGGUUAGUUGAUUAAAUGAUGCUCUGGUUGAAUCUAGGUUUUAAUUUGGAGUGCUCGGAGUGUGGUUUAAUUAAAUAGUUGAUCUCAUGUUUAUACAUAUAUUUAUGAUGUAUAUAUGUUUAUAUUCCCAUAUAAUUACGCAAGAUUUAGUUUUACGAAAUUUGAUGAGGUGGUUCUUAAAAUUAUUGAAUACGAAAUGUUAACAUGAAAUUCUCAAACUUGAAUCAAUUUUAAAAAUAGAAUAAAAUAAAUUUAGUAUUUUUAUUUUUUAAAUUAAAUUCACUUAAUUAUAAAAUUCGUGCACACUUUAAAAUUUAUAGCCUCAUGAUUAAAUAUUGAAUUUGAAUUUAUAAUUUCAAAAUCUAAAAAACAAUAUGUGUUUAAUAACUUUCUUUGCAUGUAAUCGACUCUCGAAAUUAAACUUGUACCUUACUUUAAUUUUAAGAUGCAGAUAAUAAUGAUCUCUUAAAGGAAUUUUUUUAAAAUUUUAUUUUAUGAAAGGUAAUUUUAUAAGUAUUGCUGACACCUAGUUAAAAAUAUCAAUGACAACUCUUGUAUUUUUAAUAAAAACCUAAUGUUUUAAAAAUUUUCAUUUUUUUUUCGACGUUGUUAAGUUCAUUUUUAUCAAAAAUGGUUUUGAAAAUAUAUAUUUUUAUCUCAAUUCAUUUCAUGUUUUAAAUAAUUAUUAGAAAUUAUUUUAAAUUGAUUUUAUCUAACAUUUAAAUAUUAAAUAUUUAAAUAAUAAUUAUUCAAUAUAAUUAAAAUUUUUUCAAAUUAGAUAUAUUGUUUGAAAGAAAACAAAUUAACUAUUAAAAUUUAUUACUAUCUAAUGCAUUAGUGGCGUUUUUGACAAAAACGCCACAAAAAAGUUCACUUUAGCAUAAACAGCGUCAUUCUAUGUUGUGUCUCCAAGGGAUUUAGCGGCGCUUUUUAAAAAACGUGCUAAAGAUCGAGAAUUAGCGGCGCUUUUGUAAAAGCGCCGCAAAAGAUCGAGUUUUAGCGGUGCCUUUUUCAAAAACGCCGCUAAUUCUCGAUCUUUAGUUGGCACAUAUCAGCAACCGGACCUCAGUGGAGUUGCACUCUUAUUUGCACCCUUUCUGCCCUUUGCGUUUGUUCUGAAAUCCAUCUCUCCAAGUAAAGGAUGCUUCUCUGCCAUCACCUUGUAUGGUUUUGGCUGCGGCAAAUUGUUGUUAGCUGCGUGUGGACACUGUUUCGGGAAGUUGGGACAUCAUGAUUAUGUUUUCCCUCGUAUGUUGUUAUGACAGCUCUCGGAUCCAUGGAGCUUUCCACAUGUUUCCGAACAUUGCAUCCUUCAUUCGUGCAUUUGUAGUAGCUCCUGUUGGAAUAACUUAGAUGUAUGAUUGAAAGAUAGAGCUCAAAAAGCAAAACAAAUAGCACCAGAUGGGGAAGUAGAUCAUCAACUGUGACCGAGACUCAUGCCCCAAGUCCGAUUAAUGUAGGUCACAAUCAUUAGCAGUCCUAUCGGUGUAUGCCUAGUAUUAAAAUGCUCCAUGAAAAUAGAUCAUAUAAAUUCUAAGAUGUCAGUUUGCCAUUGUAAUGCACUAAAAGGUUCGUACCAAUGCUAAACACCAUUUUUUCAACUGGUUCAUAUCCCCAAACCCAUGUCUCAAUAUGUGCCAAACACAGGUGUCAAACAAGGGUACUUGAAGAAUGACGAGUCAGAGCAGCCUAGAAUAGAACCAUCGAUAAAGAAAAUUAUAUGAUAGUCCAUUGUACCUUGGAUGAGGGUUCCCUUUGACAACUUUCUGACCAUAUUUGCGCCACCGAUAGCCAUCAUCUAAGAGUUCAACUUCACUUCUCGUUUGCACAACAAUUUUCGGUUCCGUGACUGUCUUAUGUGAGAAGGUUAUCGCAGCUUCCGUAGCAGCAUUCCUGCAGUCAAAAGCACACUGCACUAAGAACUAUCGAUGGUAAAGAUACAUAAAUUUUCAUGAUCAGUUACAUUUGAUUUGAGACUCACCUUCUUUUCGGAUUCGGUUCAUCAUUAUUAUCUCUUUCGUCUCUACCCUCUUCGUCACAAUGUUCCUCAUUCUCACUUGAUCCAGGUAAUUCAGCAGCUUCAGUAGAUUCAUGAUUUUUCCCAUGUAUCGAACACACUGGUACAGCAGCAUUUUAACUUGUUCAAGUUUCCGGUUAAAGCCUGAGAACCUAGUUCAGGAGCCUGUGAAUUUGCAUUUCCGUCGCUACUGCCCAUCCCUUGUUUUUUUGGUGGAGGCUUUUCAUGAUUGUGUGCACCUUUGUAUAGAAUCUCAGUUAUUAGGCCAUCGGUAGAUCGCUCAACCUUCUUCUUGACAGGGCAUUUCAAAUGCGUACAUUUAUAGUAGCUUCUCGAAUAUUCACAGCCUUUAAUUGGCUUCUGUCCAUACUUACGCCAGUUGUAGCCAUCUUCAGCAGGUUUAUCCACAGCAACAGAAGGCUGAUUUUUACUAUCAAAUUGAGAAGCUUCAGCGUACUCCAUUGUAGAACUUUCUGACCGUAUUUGCGCCACCGAUAGGCAUCAUCUAAGAGUUCAAUUAAAACGACGUCGUUUCUUUUGCGAUUUAGUGACGUCAUUAUGUUUAACAAAACGGCGCCGUUUUUGUUUCAUCCAUUUCACCCCAAUGCAAACCCGAAACCCUUAUUUUCCCCCAAAUCAAAAUUUCCCCUAAACCCUAAAUUUUCCCCAAAUCAAACCCAUUUGCCGUCUCCCUUUCUCUUUUGGUUCGACAGGUUUCAUUUCAUUUCGAUUUCUAAUCAAACUCGAAGCUCCUUGUUUCAUUUCGAUUUCAUUUCUAUUAUUUUUUAUGUGGGUUACACUUCUGUUUUAUUUUUGCAGCAAGCAGAAAGAUUAAGGGAUUUCAUUUUCGAAAUCAAACCCGACUGAAGGCUAGCUUUUGCGAGUCCAAAAAAUCAAGGUACUCUCAUUUAGUUGUUCUUUUGAACCCUAGACUUUAGCAUGCUGACAUUGGUAAUCUUAGAUUGUUGUGCUUCUCUCUCUUUUCGGGGUUUUGGAGAUGUUUGGGUUUUUGAAAUUUCAAAAUUUGAUUUAGGGUUCUGACAGUAAGAACAUACGUGUAUGGAAAAAUCUUAAAGAAUUUAAUGGUUUCAAAUCAAAUAGUGGAUUGGUUAAAACCAUUGUUAUAGCAGGUGCAAAGAUUUUUACUGGUCAUCAAGAUGGUAAAUUUCGUGUAUGGAAAGUAUCUGUUAAGAACCCUGGUGUUCAUAAACGAGCUGGUACAUUACCAGCUUUGAAAGAAAUCCUCAAAAGUUCAAUUAAACCAAGUAAUUACAUUGAAGUGAAACGCAAAAGAUCUUUAUGGAUCAAGCAUUCAGAUGCUGUGUCAUGUUUGAGUUUAAAUGAAGAACAUGGUCUUCUUUAUUCAGCUUCAUGGGAUAGAACAUUUAAAGUAUGGAGGAUUUCUGAUUAUAAAUGUCUCGAAUCGGUUAACGCGCACGACGACGCGGUGAAUUCAGUAGUAUCGAGGUCCGGCAGGGAGAUGGUUUUCACCGGUUCGGCCGACGGGACGGUUAAAGUAUGGAAAAGGGAACAACAACGUAAAGGGAAAAAACAUAGUUUGAACCAAACAUUGUUACAACAAGAAUGUGCUGUUACAGCAUUAGCAAUUGAUGUACCAGGUUCGGUUUUAUAUUGUGGUUCCAGUGAUGGCCUUGUUAAUUUUUGGGAACUUGAGAAAGGAUUAGCACAUGGUGGUGUACUUAAAGGACGUAAAUUAGCUGUUCUUUGUCUUGAAGCAGCUGGGAAUUUGGUGUUUAGUGGUUCAGCUGAUAAAACUAUAUGUGUUUGGCGUAGGGAUGGUAACAUUCAUACAUGUCUUUCGGUUCUAACCGGACAUACAGGACCGCUUAAGUGUUUGGCAUCGUAAAAUUCAUGGAGUUGAGCUAAUUUUGGCCGAAUGGCUGGUGAUGGCUAAGGAAAAUGCUACUUCUUGAAUUCUUUUAAUGCAUGCAUCGGUUAUGUGAAGUUAUCCCUUGCAUGCAAAGCCAUGCACGGUUUUUUUAUUGUUAUUACCUUGUAAAUAUGGUUUGGUUAUUAUUAUUGGGAAUUUUCAAUUGAAAAAAAAUACAUUUCUAGCUAACUAGAUAAAUAGAAUAUAUUUUUGACUCCAUUUAGACAUAGGUAAAUGAAAAUUCAUUAUUAUGAUUAUGAAUAAUUUUAUAAAAAAUUUAAUAAUUUAUUAAAACAAAAAAAGAAAUACAUAGAAUUAGAAUAAUUAGAAUAAUAUAAAUAUGAUAGAAUAGAAUAAAUGGAAAAGGAGUCAAAGCGAUAUAAUACAUUAAGAAGUGGUUAUUAGUGGUAUUUAUUGCAUAUGAUAUGAAUUGUAUGAGACUGUAAUGAGUUCUAAUAUGAAUACAGAAAUGUUUAAGUGCCUUCAUUGCACCUUGGUGCCCUGUAAACACUUCGGUGUCCCUGUUUGCACAAUUGUGCCUCUGAAUGCACAGUUUUGCCACCCCAUUUGGUAAACACCUUCACCUAUACAUAUGGCACAAAAACAAAGCAUAAUAGGCAAUCCAAAACAACUAAAUCAAGCCUAAAUACUACCAUUUCAUAGGUGGGAGGAAGCAUUGGCGAGAAAGGGGAAGGAGCAAGUCAAUCGGCUAGAUAGCUCAACUUGGAGAAAUUUUAGUAAGUUCUUCAAAGGUAACGUGUAAAAUUAUUAUGUUUGAAAUAUAAAUAUUUCAUGCAGGAGUGGUUCGGCAAAUGGACUGUUAAAAUUAUGAAUUUAGGAGUUAAAAAUACAUGCUGAUUUUUAUUUUUAUUUUACCGAAAUGUUGCUGUUAGAAGAGAUGUAAAUGUGAGAAGUAUAUGCACGGGUUGACUGCUGAAUGUAUUUUGUUUCAGCAUGCGACUUGUAUAACUGGUCUGCUGCUUUGGUGUUAAAGGAAAAUAAAAUAUUAGUGGUUAAAUGUUAAACUUGGCCACUGUUUUAAAGUUGAAUAAGUCAUACUGUAAUUGUAACAUAUGUUAUGCUACUAAAUUAAUUGAGAGUAAAGUGUCAAAUUUACUAUCCAAUGCACUGUCAUUUGUGCUGAUUUUCUUCAUUAAGUUCUGCUGUCCGAAUCUGUUGUUGAUAUCAAAUUAUAUGCAAUGCACUAUGAGAUUGUAUAUGCAUGUAAAUUUGGUUUUUUUGGAGGUUUGGAUGGGUUGUAUGGAGAUUGAAUAUAUUGUUGGAGACCAGAUGUUGCAGUGAUUAUUCAUUUAAAUGUAAAGCAAAGAGUUUACUGAAUUUAUAAUGCGAGACCAGUUAUAUUAAAUGGUUGAUAUGUAGACACUUAUAUGUUUGUUCCACAUUAAAAACACUACUUUAGGUUCAACAUUUUUUGAUGUUUUAUUGUCAUUUUUGGGACCUUAUUUGCAGUACUUUAGGUACAUCAAGAACAGGUCGUUCCAGAAUAUAUAUUUUCAGUUCAGAUACUGUUUUUUUUUUUUUUUUUUUUUUAUGAGUAUGAAACUAACUUAUUUAUGAUCAGUGACUCUAAUGGCACAUAUUUGUGUAUAUAUAUAUAUUUGAAAAAUUCCUUUAAAAAUUUCGAACCUAAGACAAGCCUCUUACCACCAUUCUGUCCCAGCCUCCUCUUUCUCUUGUCGCGUUCAAGUUUCCAACAGACUAGGAAAUUUAUUAAGGUAGUUUUUCAAACCCUAAACCUAAUUUGAAGAUUUUGAGUGAAGAGAUUUUUAAUUAUCUGAUCUCUGUCUCUGCUGCUAUAUUUUAUUUUUUGUUUUCUAUCCUACUGCUCGUUAUUCCGUCUGUUUACUUCGUUGAGAAGGAGAAUUUUUUUUUAAAGCUAUCAGUUUAGUGGCAAUGGCGGAUUUGCGGUCGCCACUGUGAAUUAGCGGCUGCAUCACCGCUAUUUGAAACUCUGACUUGCUAUUAAUUUUGGAUAUUUAUUGCAGCUUCAAAUGGAAGGAUUAAGCGUAGCAGAUGCUAAUUUGGUGAUGUAUUUACACCCAUCAAAGAGUAGGAACGUGUCUCAGUCGAUUCUCCGUGAGCUUGGCUCUUUGCUAUUCAAGUUAGUUCUUUUACUUUCACUUAAAUUUAAUUUUUCAUAUAACUCAAAACUCCUGUUUUUGUUUAUUAUUUUUUCUUCACCAAAAGCUGUUUUGUGUUGAUAUUGCUUUUGAUUUAAAUAAAGUAUACCUUAAUUUUGUUUGGUCUGUUUUCUAGUUUAGCUGAAAAUUGAACUUCUGAUGAUGAAGCAAAUGAUACUGUGGCUCUUUUUAAACAAAUGGAGAAGUUUAUUACUGUUGAGAAUAUAAGCUUUUAAACAGGCUGAAUUUAACUGCAAUGUCUGGAUCUAGUAGUGUGAUUCUUUUGACUCCGUUGGGAUCAAUACUAAAUCAAUAGGUUUUGUAAUGAUGCACUUCACUUGUAAUGUUGAUUAUAAGAAUGAAAUUAUGUGCGAAUAUUUGCUUCCUUUUAUCCUGUUAUAAUAUGAAGUGGUUCUGUUCUUGCAGGUUCAAUGAAACAUUUGAUGGUGUUUUAUUGGCCUAUGAUGUCAAUAUUCUGGAUAAACAGGCGAAAAUUCUUUCCGGUGUUCAUCCUUAUUUUGGUCUUAGACUAAAAGCAAAUCUCCUACUUUUUUCACCAAAGCCAGAUAUGCUCUUAGGUACCAUUUUUUCAUGAUAUUUCAGGUUAUUUAUUUAGUUUUUUUUUUUCUUGUAGUGGAUAUCACACUGCCGGUAUGUAUUUAUGGAUCUUCAUGCCUAAGAUGUUGUCUAAACUAAUUUUCUUUGCCACAUUCAGAGGGGAAGGUAGUGAAGCUUUCUCAAGAAUCUAUUCAUGUUAUUGUUCUCGGUUUCUCGUCUGCCAUCAUAACAGCUGAAAACAUUCGUGGAGAAUUUAAAUAUAGAACCGUAACACUUUUCUACCUUGUUCUUAAUUUUUUUAUUUUCUUUGUGUGUUGGGUAUGUGUAUAUGGCAAGAGACUACAUGUAUUACUGUAGUAACUUUAGUGUCUUAUUGUAUCAUAGAAAGACAAAGAGGAACUAUUUGCCAGCAAAUCUCACAAGCGACAUGUCAUAAAGGUUGGAACCAUGAUCCGAUUUUUAGUCAAGAGGUGACAAUUUCCUUUCAAAAGAAACUAUCCUUUUAAUUUUAGGAAUGGAAUAUGUUUUUCAUUGUUGUACUGUUCUGGUUACCAUCAAUAGUUAAUUGUAAGCUGGAGAGAAAUGGUAUUCUUUAUGGUUACUAGGGUUAUUUUCUUCUACCAUCUAAAAUUGUAAAUUGAGAUUGCGGAGAAGUUUAUUUGCCCUGCUUAUUGAUAAUAUAUAUAUUUAUAAUCUAGAUUUUCAUUAUGCCUAUUGAUAUCUUGCCUCCGUACUUUUGUGAUUUCCUUUGUUUAAUUUUUAAUCCAUUACGAACCAGUGGAUCAUAUAAUCUUGUUGCUUCUUUAUACCUCGGUUCUGCAUGCUUUUCCACUCAAUAAUGCUUCAUUGUGGUUCAUCAAGUCAAGUUGAUAUGUAUUGGAGAUUUACAACUUAUUUGAAGUUAUGAUUUCUUGUGUUUUUAUUUUUCCCUCGGAGAAAGGGAAGGUGCGGUGGUUAAUGACAUGUUCAUCACAUGGUUUUUUACACUGAUUCUUUUAUUGCAGUUUUGAUGAGGAAAUACUUCAUAUUAUUGGAUCUCUGAUAUCAGCUCACACAGGAAGCAUUCGUUGGUUGGAUAGACAUUUGGAGGAAGAUUCAGAAUUUGAUAGGUCUUUUAGUAAACUCAAAAGUUUUAUAUAGCAACCUUUCUGUAUUUCAACUUGCGAAAGUUUUAAUUUAAAUGUUGUAUAAUCCUAUAGGAGUUCUAUGAAGAGUAGAGAUAGAGAAUGGCUUGGGGAUAAAACUGUUGAUGAGGGAGCAACUCCCAUGAGCUACGAUAAUCAUAUUAAAAUGUCGAAAAAGCGUAGAAUCACAGAAUGAUGGUGAUGAUUGCUUCAAAUUACUAAUUAUAUAAGGAGAUUUCUUGUUGUCAGGUAAUUCAUUGACCAAUUCUUGUGCUCACAAUGAGUACUGCUAAUCUUUUAUUAGUGUUGAAGUCUUCUCCUAAAUAACUUUUACAUCCUCUGUUAGAGUAAUCAAACUUGUGAACUGUUGGUAGUAUUGAUGAGUUAUGCAUAAAACACAGUACCUGUUUUAGUUUAUGUUCAUCUAUUUGCUUUUCUUACAUCUUGUAUGAGAACCUUUUGAUGUUAACUUUUUUGCCUACUUUAGUCUUAUACAUUAAUCGCUUAUAAUUACAAGUGUACUGCAAAAUAUGUGCUAGUACAUGUAGUGGGGAGUGGUGGGCUUAAGGUCCAUGUAGAUGAAGGUAUAUUGCUUCUGGUGAUUGCUUCGGUAAGGAAUUGUUCUUCUGUUGAAGCUUGCUAAAAUUUUGAAAUCUUCCCUUCAGUUUUUGUGGUCGUCGUUUUGUAUGUGACCAAGAUUGAAAAUUCCAGAUUCCCAAGUCGAUAAAAGAGAUCGCAAUUUUUUUCUCCUGUGAAGUAGGCAAUUUUUGUUUCCUAAUGAUGUAUGUUAAGAGUGACUUUUUUGUACGUUGUACAAGUAUAGACUUGGUCUUAUCUAUAAUAUGUUAACAUCGAAUUUAGCAAAAGGAAACGCUUUGUCCCCUUGUCUCAUGAAGGCUUCAUGUCAUCUUUUAUGCACUUUCAAUUUAUGCCAACGUUUACUAGGUAAAAGUAGUCGAAUUGCAUUUUACGUGCGACUAAAAAAAUAGAUAAAUUAAUCCCUGUAGGUUAGAUCCAAAAGUAAACUGGUCAUUUCUGUUAAAAAUUUUGUUCAUUUUUACUGUUUAAAAUUGGGCAUGUCUUGUGUAACUAUUUGGUUCUUUCGUCAGUUAUUUCAGUUUUUUAAUAGUAUAAAUAGAUUAAUUUUUAAGAGAAAGGACUAGUUUACUCAUUGAUUUAACGUAAAGGGACUAAGUGUCCAUUUUUUAGUAAAGGGAGCAAAAUGGAGUUUGACUUUUAGUACAGGAACAUCCAUGAUACAUUUAUUAUGUUCAUUGGUGAAACAGUUUUGCAUAUUUUCCGGCUGCCUAUGUCUGUGUUGCAGUGAACCACUUUCUAGAUCUAUGCCAGCCAAUGCUUCUCCUUUCUUAUUUAGGGGAAUUCACGUUUUUAAUUUGGAAAAAGAAAAGAAGUCAACUGGCAGGGAGUUUGAACUUGGGAUUUAUGGUGGAUUCUCAUAAACUUUUGCUACAAUUAUCUAAUUAGCCAGCAACACUAAGAAAGAACAGAGAAUUUACCUUUUGCUUAUUUUAUUACCAAUGAUUAUGAAUCAAUUUUCAAUUUUUUUGUAUAAGUGGGGAGGGAGGGGUUGUCGUCUUUGAAUCCAAGAUUUGGUUUCGAGAAAUGUUGUGUAGUAACGAAAUAUAUGUUUUUGACAAGUGGGCACGAAGACCUGCGUAGCCGAUAUGCAGUGACUCUGAAAAGUUAAACUAAACCUGCAUGUUACAAUAAAUUGCAUUUUUCGUUCAACACAUUAAAGGUUUACCCCCAUUGGUAUCACUAAAUUCUUUUGCUUGAUCGAAAGUACCUAGGGUAAUACAUUUGCUUGAUCACCCAAUACGAAAGUUGCUCUGGGUAAUAUAUAAAGUAGAGAAGAAAUUGUUAAAUAUAGUUUCAACUUAAAAUUUAUUUCAUAUUAUCUUUUAAAAAUAAUCGUAUAGUCACACGCUCUAGUGUAAAAAGUAUGCUCUCUUUCUUUACCUUUUACUUGUGUGAAAGUGGAUUUUUCCUACUAUUUUUCCUCUUUGGUUCAAAAACCCAUGAAGGAAGAAACUUGAAUGAGUUAGAUGAUCCAUGCCGCCUCCAACGUAGAUUUGAUGCUUUUGAUAGUGAAGAAUGAUGUUUUCUCUUUUUUUGGAGGAGUUUUAUGUUUUUUCGUAGCUUUUUUUUAUUGUGCUUUAGUGAUGUAAUUGAUUUAUGCAUUUGUCGAUCUUCCACAUCAUGAAAACAAGUCAUUUCCACCGUCAACAUAAUAAGCGAAUUCUAAUGGUCGAGAUAUACAAAUGAUCAAAGAUAAAUCAUGGCUUUGAGUAUGGUCUUUGUUUUCCUAACUUAAAACUUUUAUGAAUUUUAGCUUUACUCAUCUCUUUUGUUGAAUGAAUUUAUUUUCUUGUUCAUAAAUAAUAUACACCUAUUUGGGACACAUUUCAAUGAGAUUUGUGUAAAUCUAAUCAUUGUUGAUUUGGGUAUGGAACUAUACCAAUAUAUUAAACAAAGUAGAGGAGAUCUGUGUUGGUUUUGUGGAUCAUUUUAAUGGUGGAUUUUGACUUUUUAGAGUUGAACUAACUAAAUACAUUUCCUGUUGCACCAUAAGCUACUACUUAUGAUUGAAACUGCAGCUGGAUUUACAUAACAAAUAUUCGAUAUACAAAUGGAUAUCCUCUUUUAGCUGUUGAAAAUUGAAAAUCAUGUAUUCAUUUAUUCAUGCUCUAUUAUCAGGUAUGGAGUUUCUUUCAGAAAAAAAAAAUCCAUUUCGGGACCUAUGUUUGUAGGUUCAACAAUGAUUGAAAGAGUAGAAGAAUAAGUUGAUUGAUGUAAUGUUGGUCUUUUACAUGAUUCUCACUGUUCAUCAAACAUCCAUGUGAUCUCUCAUUAUUUUAAAUUGCAGAAUAUAAAAGAUGAUGAUAAACUUGUCCAUUAAAGUAUUAUGGAGAUAUUGCAUUAAGAGUCGGAUUUUAUUGUCUUUUAAGUUCAAAAGAUAAGUAAAUUAGUCUUUGUACAAUAAAUAAAAGAGUAAAUUAAUCUUGUAAUAUUAAAAAUUGGUUAUUAUAUGUUAACAAUAUUUCACAAAUUUGUAUUUAUUUAAAAAAAAAACAUAAAAUUAGGUGACGUGGCACGUUUCCAGCGAUCCAUGUUAUUAUUAUUAUUAUUUUUUUUUUUUGUAAUGGUUAGGGUAACGUGUUUGACGUUUGAAAACUUUAGAUAUCAAAUUGAUAAAAAAAAAUAGUUAUCAAAGUGAUAAUUGGGUGUAACUUUGGGGGUAAAUAGUACAUUAACCCUAUUAACAAAUAUGGUUAUUUUUGUAUUUAUCAAGUUUUAAUUAUUCUUUUCUAAAAGGUGUAAAACUAAAAAGUUUAUACAGAUAUACGUGAAUUUCUCUCUAUAUAAUACUAGAAUUCCAUCGCACUCAUAUGCAUGUGAAAAUCAUGCAUUUAGAUCAUAGAUGUGUUUAAAAAUAACAUACAAUAAGUAAUGAAAUGUAAGGUGUUGGAAAAAUUACGUUUGAAAAAGGCAGCAAAAAAUAGGUUUAAGGGAAAACUAGAGUUUUAAAAAAAAAUUUAAAAUAAGAACUUGGUUGUGUUAUCUAAAGUAAUAAACAUUUAAUCAAAAUAGUAUCUUUAUAAUUCGUCUAGGAUGAACGCUUCGACGGAGUAGUCUUCUCCGCUAUCCUCAAGCUCACGUUUGCUGAGUGUGGACUUAUUUUUAAUAAAAAAAAUUCACAAAAUUACCAGUGAGGCAAUUUUGUAAUUUCUUUAAACUUUUGAGAUCAAGUUAUAAAUAAUAAGAAUAUCUCUAAAAAUUUUCUGAAAUAAUUUUAAAAAAAAAUCUCUGUACAACUUUUCUUAAAUUCAAAUGUUUGAGAAUAAUAACCGAAGUUAUCUUUAUAUAGGGAGAGUUUAGAGAGAAUUUAACCAGGAUUCGAAUUAAUUACAUUAAUAUUAAAUUAAUAAAAUAUUAUCAAGAUAAAUAUUAAAUUAAAUUUAAUAUCUCAUAUCAAUAUUAAAUUAAUAAAAUACUAUCUAGAUAAAUAUUAAAUUUAUUAAAACAAUAUUAUCUUUAGAAAAGUUAAUUUGAAAUCAAAUUACUUGGUAGAGUCCCACUAGGAGUAUGAUUUUUCCACUACUCUACUGCCAAGAACCGUCGCUUUUGACAAUUCAACGGCUGUCGGGUCGCCAUUGUCAUAGUCGCUGUGCUUGGUGAUGCCAUCGUUAGCACAACUCCCUCUUGGCACCCUGAAUCGUUUUCGCUUUGCCCAAAUGGGCCUGGCCGAUUUGGUUUCAAUAAGUGACGACCCAAUCGAUCCGGUCCAGCCACCAGUUGGACCAUCAACCCAAUUUCGUACACAAGGCCCAUACACAAGUCAUGUACCUAACUAGUCGAUAUUGGCUCGAUAAUCUUUAAAGCAUAAGCUUUCACUUAUAUCAAAGCACAUGAAUUACAUAUGCAGUUGAGGCGGCUAAUAAAAAUAUAAAGGGGAUCGUGAGGAAAAUCGCUGAGACGUACAAGGAUUGGCAUGAAAAGCUACCAUUUGUUCUCUAUGCCUAUCGAACGAAGGUCAGAACUUUUACCGGGGCAACACCUUUCUCGUUGGUUUAUGGGAUGGAGGCGGUUUUGCCUAUUGAAGUCGAGAUUCCUUUUCUCCGAGUUUUAUUUGAAUUGAAGCUAGAUGAAGCAGAAUGGGUCCAAUCCCGGUACGAUCAGCUGAACUUGAUUGAAGAAAAUAGGCUGAAGGCUAUCCGUCAUGGUUAAAUGUACUAGAAGUGAAUGAUGCAAACUUACAACCAAAAAGUUUGCCGAAGAGUAUUCCAAGAAGGGGACUUGGUAUUAAAAAAGAUUCUCCCUAUGCAAAAAGAUUUCAGAGGGAAACGGAUGUCAAACUAGGAAGCACCUUACGUAGUGAAGAAGGCUUUUUUUGGAAGGGCACUGAUAUUAGCAGAAAUGGAUGGUAAAAGCCUUCCCAACCCGGUAAAUUCAGAUUCGGUCAAAAAGUACUUCACCUGAAAAAGAAGAGGUCAAGGCAAAAACUCGCAAAGGGCGCUUUGAAAAAAAAAGAAAAGGGAGAGGCCAAGGCGAAAACCCACAAAGGGCGCUUUGAGACCAAAGGGGUUUUGAGUUGAAAACCUGAAAAAGGGCAGCUCAAAUUGUGAUCAAAGAUGGGGCAUGUUGCGGCCUUGUUCUACCAAAAUUAACAAGAAGGAGGAGCAUUACAUCUUGGGGCAUCAACGAAAUACCUCGGACCUCUUAGACAUAUAUCUGGCUCCUAAUGGUUUUCGAACAGUCCGAAUAGUGAAGCUCACGUUGCGAUAUCUGGGGCACCUAUUUUCCAUCUUAUACAUUUUUUUUUGUACCUUAGCGAAAUUUGUUAUCAUGAUUAAUUUUCUACAUCGAGCUUCGCUCUCAAUAAAGUUUCAUCUUGUCCAUUUUGAUAAUCUUUUUCAAGCAUUUCCUAUUGAAACAUUUGGUUAAUGGACUAAUAACACUUUCAUAAAAGGAGUUCUGCAUAUUACUCUAGAAGCUUUUAAGUAGUGUAAGAACUCGAAACAGGUCAAUUAUUCAGAACCCACCAAGCUUGACGGUUAGAGUUACUUGAGAAGUAAAAAGUUUAAGUUAAGACUAUUGCUUCAAAUGUCUGUUAAAGAUAUCAGUUGAACGAGAAGAAAUACAUCAAUGACAAACAGCGAGCAAUAACAGCCUAAACGUUAAAAAGGGCAUUUUCACGACAAUCUGCAUUCAUUCAAAUGUCAUUCAUGUUACAUCUAGUUAUGGGCAUUUGAUUCAUUUCGAUCAUAGCAUCUUAAUUAUUUGACAUAAGCAUUACAUCUAGUUAGGAGCAUUUGAUUCAUUGCAAUCAUAGCAUCCUAAUUAUUUGGCAUAAGCAUGAUACAGGAAAUUGAUUUUAUAGAUCAUGUUUCUCACAGGACAGUACAGUGGCAUGGGUGAAUUCGCAAUCCUUAACCCCCUAAGCAGUAGGGUAACAUACUGAAAAAUACAGAUAUUCCUUAAACAGUAGUGGAACAGAUCGAAGACAGCAAGCCUUAACCCCCUAAGCAGUAGGGUAACAGAUUGCAAAUUAUAGAUCUUAUCACCAUGUAUCGGCUAUGGAGCAGAUCGAAAAUGGUGAGUCUUAUCUCUAUGUAUCGGCUAUGGAGCAAAUUUUAGCCACCGGCCUUAUCUCUCUGAGGUAGCAAGAGAGCAGGUUGAAGAUACGAGCUUUAACCCCCUAAGCAGUAGGGUUACAGGCUGUAAAUUACAGAUCUUAUCUCCAUGUAUCGGCUAUAGAACAGAUCAAAAAUGGAGAGUCUUAUCUCCAUGUCUCAGCUAUGGAGUAGAUUUUAGCCACCGGCCUUAUCUCUCUGAGGUAGCAAGAGAGCAGUUUGAAAAUACGAGCCUUAACCCCUUAAGCAGUAGGGUGACAGGCUGAAAAUUGCAAAUUUUAUAUUCUAGAAGUCGCAAUGGAGCAGGUUGAGGAUGUUGAGUGGAUUGAAAGUACAAUUCCUAUAUCCCUGAAGAUGCAGUGGGGUGGAGUGAGGCUACUUAAAGAAGAUGAGCAUAAAGAGGUCGAGAUAUGACAAGAACGGGCAAAAUUGCCCUUUGAAGGUCUUUGCUCCAUUCUCGUUACAUGACAAUGAGCAAAGAGGGGCAGCUGUAGACGGCCCAUUUCGCCUGGGGCCCAGAUCAAUACCAAAACCAAAACAAAAGCAGACCAAAUAAAAAAAACAAAGUCCAAAUUACAUACCCAACACAAAAACUAAAAUAAAGCCCAAUACAAACCCAAUUCUAAUACCCAUUUACAACGUAGCCCAAUUGGCCCACAAAUCUAAAACGGUUUCAGCAACCCUAGCGCCGCAAGCCAAUCCCAAACGCCACACAUCGCGCUGCCUUCCGCUCCGUGCGCCGCGCCACUCGCGCCUCCACGUCAGAGCCCACGUCCACCAUGCACCUACAAACAAGCGCAAAAAGAGCAACAGAGAAGUUCUUUUUUGUUUUUUCCAUUCGGCUAUAAAACGAAUCAAACAGAGUGUAAAAGGGAGGGUUUUUUUUUGUUUUUUUGAAUCUAAUAGCAGAGAACAUACACAAAAAACCAUAACAAUCGAAAAGAAACCGGAUCCAAGAUUUAAGAGGUUGUUUUUUCAUUUUUUUCCCUCGGAUUUUCGUUUCAUAUUUGUGAAUUUUUUUUCUUUUUCGUUUUUUACAAACUGAUUUUAAAAUUAAAAAAAUAAAAAGAAAGGGGACUUACCUUUUAAUGGCCUUCGAAUCCUUGUCUGCUUCGUUGAAAUCGAAGUUAGAUGAGGGUUAGGAGGAUACGACUCCAAAUAGAGUCGGAUUUGAUGUCAUCUGCCGAUUAUGAUGAUGAAUCGAUGGUGGGGAAGAACUGAUCGGCGCAAGAGCAGUGAAGAAUGAAAACCUUUUUAGACUUUAUCAAAUCUGGCGCAAAUAAUUUUGGCAAACAAGAUGGCUUAGUGUUUUAUGUAUAAUGAAACGAUGCUGUUUGGGUAAAACGGGUAGGGAUUUGUG
rnacentral:lncRNA from 1 species